GCCAGUGUGGUGCAACGGACAGCACAACUGCCUAGUACGCAGGAGACCUGAGUUCAAAUCUCAGGGCUGGUA